CAUUAUUUGCAGGCCAUGGUGUGCCAGUGCAGCUGUCACCAUCCUGCGAGGGCCUCUGUGGCUACACAGUGCUCACUUGGUAUGAAGGCAGCGAGGGAUUUAGCUUUCCCAGGAGUGGCAAGCACAGCUGUUCAGGGACCUGCCUGAGGAUGGUGUUGAGAUCGCAGGAGAUGGCCAGUGUGAUUCACCAGGGUACAGCGUAAAGUACUGCUCGUAUAUUGUCCUGGCGAUGGAAGUUGGCGAAAUCCUCUAUUACGAACAGAUAAGAGUGGGAGAGGUGAGCAAGUACAGAAAGCUAGAUUGCCUUUCUGUAACUAUAAUUUCAUGCAGUCACCAGCUAUACCAAGCAGCUCUGCAAUAGAGAAGGAGGGUUUGGCACGAUCCUUCUAAAAGCUUGAAGAAAAUAGCGUGACUGUGCGGUCCCUCACUACAGGCAAGUUAAAGUUUUUUGCAGAAAAGAAGAGUGUUCUUUGAAUAGUGACAGUGACUUCAGUGUGCUUCUUUCAUAACUGGAUUUAGUGACGUGGUAAACAAGCACUGCCGGCUCCCACAACCACCAUAUUGUUUCCCUUAUACCUCUGUCACAUGAACAGCCUUAGCCGCUGUUAAGCUGACUAUCGUUAUGGCUAACGGUAAGAAGUACAUACAGGGAAGACAUAAAUUCAGUUACUCUGCUGACCAUGGUUGUUGCAAACAAAGCUAGGCAAACAUGGUUUACACUCGCAAACCGAGAAGCUGACAAGAUUGCUGAAAAGCUGCAGACCUGCCAUGAACCAGUGAAAGCCAAUCGGCAUCUUUGCGUUGUUUGAAAAUUCUCAUGGAAUGCGACUCCAGUUGUUAAACACUUGCACAGCUUGUGAAAAAUAAAGCUCAUCGUAGAAUGGCCAGCAAUAAUGAUCGUUCUGUCAUAGCAGAAAUAGCAAGAUAGUGUAGCCUUAUCGCAACAUGUUUCUUGAGAAGAAUUGCUUUUCACAUUGUUCGUGUCUAGCAGCCUCAUAAAGCCCCAAACGCUGAGUGUCUAGUCAAAAGCAGAAUGAUUCAAAAACAGUCUUAGAGGUGCAGAUGGGCUGUGUUAUACCACCAAGCUUACUGAGGCGGUGCUCGAAAUUUUCUCUGACCUCAGGGUCAGCUCAUGAUUUUAUUGGCUUGUUCAACUGAGCUAACUCAGCCCAUGAAGCAGUAGCAAAGCGCUUUCACAUUAACAGUGGUUAAUCCUUAAGCAUCAGAACAAUUAGGGCGUCCAUGUGACACAGGUAUAUCUUAAGCUCUACAGUGUCUUUUCAGUAUUUCUGUAUCUGAAUUCAUUGCGCAUUAUAAACGUUCACACUUCACUGCAUAUUUCCAGCAGACCGCCACCCAGUCAUCUUGACUUACUGCAGCGUAAAAAAGCCUGGCAUGCCACAUUAUUUCGAUGUUUGGCAUCUAAAUAAAGGUGUUUAAAAAGUUUUU